UUGGCCCCAAGUCAGGCGAGGCUACCCGCCGAGUUUAA
rnacentral:rRNA from 2 species